UUUGCCUACGGGAGGCAGCAGUGGGGAAUAUUGCACAAUGGGGGAAACCCUGAUGCAGCGACGCCGCGUGAGUGAAGAAGUAUUUCGGUACGUAAAGCUCUAUCAGCAGGGAAGAAAUAAAGUCCUUCGGACUUUGGACGGUACCUGACUAAGAAGCCCCGGCUAGCUACGUGCCAGCAGCCGCGGUAAUACGUAGGGGGCAAGCGUUAUCCGGAUUUACUGGGUGUAAAGGGAGCGUAGACGGCUGUGCAAGUCUGAAGUGAAAUGCCGGGGCCCAACCCCGGAACUGCUUUGGAAACUGUACA
rnacentral:rRNA from 1 species